rnacentral:rRNA from 1 species
UCGGGAAUCUUGCACAAUGGGCGAAAGCCUGAUGCAGCAACGCCGUGUGAGCGAGGAAGGCCUUAGGGUCGUAAAGCUCUGUUGUUGGGGACGAAGGGCGAAGGGUUAAUAGCCCCUAGCCUGACGGUACCCUUCGAGGAAGCCCCGGCUAACUACGUGCCAGCAGCCGCGGUAAUACGGAGGAUGCAAGCGUUAUCCGGAAUAAUUGGGCGUAAAGCGUUCGUAGGUGGUUUUGUAAGUCUGCUGUUAAAGCGUGUAGCUCAACUACAUAUAGGCAGUGGAAACUACAAAACUUGAGUGCGUUCGGGGCAGAGGGAAUUCCUAGUGUAGCGGUGAAAUGCGUAGAGAUUAGGAAGAACACCGGUGGCGAAAGCGCUCUGCUAGGCCGCAACUGACACUGAGGGACGAAAGCUAGGGGAGCGAAUGGGAUUAGAUACCCCCGUAGUCC